UGAACCAAUGCUGAAAGUGUCAUGAACCAAAGAUUAUGGCUGAUCCAAUUUUCUGUACCCAAGUUCCAAA
rnacentral:snoRNA from 14 species